rnacentral:rRNA from 1 species
UGGGGAAUAUUGCACAAUGGGCGCAAGCCUGAUGCAGCGACGCCGCGUGGGGGAUGACGGCCUUCGGGUUGUAAACUCCUUUCGCCAGGGACGAAGCGUUUUGUGACGGUACCUGGAGAAGAAGCGCCGGCUAACUACGUGCCAGCAGCCGCGGUAAUACGUAGGGUGCAAGCGUUGUCCGGAAUUACUGGGCGUAAAGAGCUCGUAGGUGGUUUGUCACGUCGUCUGUGAAAUUCCACAGCUUAACUGUGGGCGUGCAGGCGAUACGGGCUGACUUGAGUACUGUAGGGGUAACUGGAAUUCCUGGUGUAGCGGUGAAAUGCGCAGAUAUCAGGAGGAACACCGAUGGCGAAGGCAGGUUACUGGGCAGUUACUGACGCUGAGGAGCGAAAGCAUGGGUAGCAAACAGGAUUAGAUACCCUGGUAGUCCAUGCCGUAAACGGUGGGCGCUAGGUGUAGGGGCCUUUUGGGGUUCCUGUGCCGUAGCUAACGCAUUAAGCGCCCCGCCUGGGGAGUACGGUCGCAAGGCU